AGCCUGCAGUGGUCCUCGAUGCCUCCAAAUGGGCAAAGCAGGAAGGGCAGAAAUAUCCAACUGCAUGUGAAAUCAGAUCCAGGGUCACUGGAUCUCGCCGCCCCCCGCCCUGCCCCCUACCUCCUUGACCCCAGCCUGGGCUGAGGACACCUUGGACAUCUGGAACACAAAUUACAGACACUCUAAGGGGCCCUUGAUGACCUGAACAGCGGUGUGCUCUGUAAUCCACUGCUGUAAGUGUCCAAGGGGGAGGGAACUUCCUUGACCACACCCAGCCCAUUUCAGCAGAGUAGGGAGUGCUAGAUGCCACACAUCCUGCCAGACACUCUUAGGAAACUCAGGGUGCCCUCCUUAAAUCCCACCAAGGAGCCCCAGCCCAGGCUGCUCCCUGCCAGAGACAACUAGCCCAAGAACUCCAGAUGCCCCAGGGGCCACUUGGCUGCUUGGAGGGGCUGUUUCUCAGCUGCAUAUUAAAUGGCCCCUUCAUGUGAAGCUGGCAGAGCGGUGGUUUUGCAAGACAGAAUGCUGCUGGGCUAAGGUGCUAAAUUCAGAACAUAAGUCAUUCUGGGCCCCCAGAAUUUCAAGGAUCUUACAGAGACAAGCCUAGCACCAAAGGGAAGGUGGGAGGACUGGGGUAAGUUUGGAUCAAGACCAUGGAGUGUAUUGAGUGAGAACUGAGUGUUCCUGACCAGCUCUCACAAGCCCAGAAGUUGCCAAGCCUGUCCUAACCCUGGUGGGGCUCAUAGGGAAACCCUUCAAGAGAGGAGCAUCUGCUGUGUGGAUAUCUCCAAUGGUAGCCCUGAUAAAUGAGUAUUGUGUGCCCGGAGGUGCCACUGCAGAAAUCCCACAAGUUGUGUUGAUAUUGAAAACUGAGACUUCCCUGGAUUCAGCUGGCUCCUGAGAAGUACUCAAGAUACUGAUAUUCUCUGCCAUCCACCUUUUCCAGCCAUGCAAGGCUUCUAUGUACUCAGUGGCCUGCACCAGAUGCACCGUUCUACAUGCAGUUCCCUGAACACAACACUAACUUUCCUGUCUCCUUGCCUUGCUGUGCUGUACUUUCUUCCAGGAAUGCCUUUCCUCCCGAUUGGACUCCUAGCAGAUAUCUGCUCCAUGUUGCCUCUGCUUGUGUUUCCUGGCACCCACCCACACCAGGUUCCCACAGGACUUACACAUUGUGCUGUGCUGGAAUGACCUGUUUUUGUGUCCUCCACCAAACUAGAUUGUAGAUUCCCCAAAGGGGUCUCUGCAUCUGCAGCUCUUGGGCAGAAUCUGGCACCCAGCCAAGGCCAACCCAGGCAUAUUUAUGCACAAAUGAGACAGUGGCUUUGGGAUGAGACUUGUGGGUGACCAAAAAAUAGAGAAAUAGUAAAUAUGUUGGGUGAUGGAAUCAGGAUCUCAUAAGGUCUGACUUGCGGGAUUAGUGGGCUUGAUUCAACAAGAGGACUUUAACAGAAAUAAAUGUUGUGUCUUGAACUUAUAUUACAAACCGAUGGCCCUAUAGGAGCAGAAGAGGAGAUCCAGGGAGAGCUGCCAGAGCAGCCUCUUACACAAAAGAAAAGCCUGGUGUGAUUAGCAGUGACAGGCGUGUAAUGGGCUGCCAUAAAAAACAAACUCAUCCCAGGCAGAAUUAAUAAAAGUAUUCUGCCUAGAAUAAAGAGAGUAAAGGGAGGGAAUAUCCUGAAAAAUUACAAAGAGACUCAGAUAAUCUGAGGGAUACCGCAAGGAAAUAAAAUGAAAACAUGAAGAGCUGGCUUCAGAUCUCCAAGGGGUUGGCCAAGAAAAGUGAGGGCAGAUGGGUCCUGGGGAGCUUCAAGAGGCAAAAUAGUGGCUUAUCCUCAGCACUUUGGGAGGCCAAGGCGGGAGGAUCACUUGAGGCCUGGAGUUCAAGACCACCCUGGGCAGCAAGACCCCACCUCUACAAAAAUAAAUAAAUUAGCCGGGUGUGGUGGCACACGCCUCUAGUCCCAGCUACUUGGGAGGCUGAACGGGGAGGAUUGCUGUAGCCCAGGAGUUUGAGGCUGCAGUGAGCUAUGAUCAUGCCACUGCACUCCAGAUUGGGCAACAGAACAAGACCCUGACUCUAAAAAGCCUGUCCAAAUAUCACCUCAGGUAGAAGUAAGCUCCCCAUCCCUGAAGGUGUGCAAGCAGUGGCAGGACUGGCCGCUUGACAGGGAGGCUGUAGAACCUUGCUGCUACUUCUUCCAGCCUCUUUUCUUACUGUUCUCCUCCCCACUCACUGUGCUACAGCCACAUUGGUGUCCUAGCUGUUCUUCGGUACACUAAGCACAUUUUCCCCUCAGGGCCUUUGCACUUGCUGCCCCCAUAGCUUGGAAAGCUCUUCCUCUAGAAAUUAAAACGUCUUUUCUACCUAGGCAGUACCAUUCAGGACACAGGCACAGGCAAAGAUUUCAUGGCGAAGAUGCCAAAAGCAAUUGCAACAAAAGCAAAAAUUGACAAAUGGGAUCUAAUUAAACUAAAGAUUUUCUGCACAGCAAAAGAAACUAUCAACAGAGUAAACAGACAGAAUGUGAGAAAAAUUUUGCAAACUACACAUCUGACAAAGGUCUAAUAUCCAGUAUCUAUAAGGAACUUAAACAAAUUUACAAGAAAAAAAACAAGCAACCUGUUAAAGGUGGGCAAAGGACACGAACAGACACUUCUCAAAAGAAGACAUAACAUGUAUGUGGCCAAAAAUCAUAUGAAAAAAACUCAACAUCACUGAUCAUUAGAGAAAUGCAAAUCAAAACCAUGAGAUACCAUCUCACACCAGUCAGAAUGGCUAUUUUUAAAAAAUCAAAAAAUAAUGGAUGUUGGCAAAAGAAUGCUUACACACUGUUGGUGGGAAUGUAAAUUAGUUCAACCAUCGUGGGAGACAGUGUGGCGAUUCCUCAAUGACCCAAAGACAGAAAUAACAUUUGACCCAGCAAUCCCAUUAAUGGGUAUAUACCCAAAGGAAUAUAAAUCAUUCUAUUAUAAAGACACAUACAUGCUUAUGUUCAUUGCAGCACUAUUCACAAUAGCAAUGGAAUCAAUCUAAAUGCCCAUCAAUGACAGACUGGAUAAAGAAAAUGUGGUACAUAUACACCAUGGAAUACUAUGCAGCCAUAAAAAAGAAUGAGAUUAUGUCCUUUUCAGGGACAGAGCUGGAGCUAGAGGCCAUUAUCCUUAGCAAACUAACACAGGAACAGAAAACCAAAUACCAAGUGUUCUCACUUACAAGCGGAAGCUAAAUGCUGAGAACACAUGACACAUACAGGGGAAGAACAAACACUGGGGCCUAUCGAAGGGUGGGAGUGAGAGGAGGGAGAGGAUCAGGAGAAAUAACUAAUGGGUACUAGGCCUAAUACCUGGGUGAGAAAAUAAUCUGCACAACCAACCCCCAUGACACAUAUUUACCUAUGUAACAUACCUGCACAUAUACCCCGAACUUAAAAGUUAAAAAAUAGAAUGUCUUCCUCCCUCACUUCAAUCAUAUUGCUGCCCAUUUGUCACCUCCAGAGAAACACAUUCCCUGACCACUCCAUCGAAACCUAAUAUCUGUUUACUGUCUGCCUCUCCCACUAUAAUAUAAACUCCUUGAGAGCAGGGCCUUGGUCUUAUUCAUGGAUGUAUCUCCAGUGCCUUGAACGGCCUAUCACACAGCAGGUGCUCAUUAAAUAUUUGCCAAAUGAACAAAAUGAAUCACCUCAUACAUUCCCAUUCACAAUAACCCUUUCUUGUGUUAAUUUCUACAAAAGAGUCUCAUGAGGAUGAGUCUCAUGAAGUCUCAAGAGUCUCAUGAAGGAAGAUUCAUCACCAAUGGCAUGUUCAAUAGACAAGUCAUAGAGGCAAGGAAGAGGCGGGAACUCACCCUGACAGUACCUGCCCUGCUGGGCACCAUCAUGUACAUUAUUUCAUUUAAUCUCUACAGGAAAGCUGUGAGGCACAAUUAUUUCCCCCAAAUUUCAAAGCUAAAAGGGCUACAUAACAUUAGAAUUCGUUGGUUGUAAGCAACAGGAGUAAUGUUUACUAACGUAGGCAAAGAGGGAAUUCUCAAUAGGAGGAAUGAGGUCAUUCACAAGAUUGAAGGAAAAACUUCAAAAAAGAUGGAGAGCAGAGCAGCUGCAGAGACCCAGGCCCGAGGUGCCAAUGGUUCCCACUGGCAUUUGACCUGCUGUCUCUCUGUUCAAGAUUCAGAUUCCUUCCCAAGGGAGAGUCUGAUUGGCAGAGCUUGGAUCAUGUGACUCCCCUUAGCCAGGAGAGGUGAGGAGAACUUGAUUGACAGGCUUACAAGCACCGCACAGGAUGGGAGAUGGGGCUGCCCAAGGGAAAUGGAGAUGCUAUUAGCAGACAAAUGAGGACAGGACAAAACAAGAGCAGGUCACUUCCAGGGCUCACAGAUCACGGAUCCAAUGCCCUGCUUGUGCAGAAGCUCAGAGGGGCAAGUGCUCAGCCCACGGUCACACAGGGCGGACACAGGUCCAACACAUAGGCCUCCUGGCCCCAGACUUGUGUGAACGUCAAGUCUCACCAGAAGUGGGUAUCCAGAUCCUUUUACUUCAAACAAGCCCACAAGGAACAACUCUUGCUCUCGUCAUGCUUGGAGGUCUUAGCACCACUGUGGACUUUCUUCCACGGUCUCUGAAUCCAGGCUCUAAAAUACACCCGCUCUAAAAUACACCCACUCAAAGGCUCUUCUGAACUUCUUUAACUGCUGCACUGAUGGCCACUGGAUCUCAAGUGAGAACUAGCAUUGCCGACUUCAGGAAGUGACUGUCAUAACUAAUUUAUUUUCAUGUCUGUUGUGAAGCCCUCCUGGGGUGGUAUAAUCCACAGAUACAAGCCUGCUUCACCUCUACUAGAAGGGUUUUAAAAAUGAAAUUAGACAUGUUUUUGAGGCAAAAUCUCUCACAGCUAACUCCCUGGUUUGGCACAAAUUCUCUUAGCAUUCGUGACCAAAGGAGACUCCUCCAAACCAUUUCCUGUCAUCUCCUCUGAGCUGUCAACUUUGAUUAUUCCUUUCCUGGUACUGUGCCUUGUCUUAUACUAAAGGAAUAAUAAAUACCUCCUUUCCCUUUUCUAAAUCUAGGACUACCCUGGCACUUUCUAUUUCCUACUUUACACAAAACUUUUCAGAAGAAGCUCAAAGGCAAUGGCAGCAGUUGCAAUAAUAAAUCACUAGGGAAUGAGACCGAGGCUGUUUCUAGGCAGUGACCCAGGAACUGGCUUGUUUGUCCAACAUGUGGUGAGCCUACUAUGUGCCAGGCCUUCCCCUGUUCUUCCCUCACUGGGCCAUUGGCAGUCAGUGUCUUCAGCCAUCAGUCAACCAGAACUGCUCUCUGUGGUCCCCCAUGGAAGUCCCCUUUCAGCCCUCAUUCCCAUUCACUUCUUAGCAACGUUUCUUCACCUUGUUCUUCUGUAUCCUCCUCACCAGAGCGCAAGCUGCCUGAGGGGGGGACUUUUGUUUUGAUCACCACUGACAUAUCUGCCUCAGAAUCCAGAAUAGUGCCUGGCACAUAGUAGGCACUCAAUAAAUAGCUGUUGUAUGAACAGACGGAUGAACCAAUGAACCAAUAAAUGAAUGGAUCCCUCGUUUCCUUGGAACUCCCUAAAUCCCCACACACCAGUAUCUCUGGAUUCUAGCACAGUGCCUGACACAUAGUAAGCGCUUUAAAAAUGUGCAAUAUGCUUGAAUAAAAUUCUCCUCCCCCUUCUCACUUUGCUCCUUCCCCUCCUUCCUCAGGAAUUUCUUUGUCCCUCCUCCUCCCCUUGGCCCCUUAUUAAGUGUCUACAGUCCUUGGGGUUUUGUCCUUGUUCCUCUGCAAUUCCCACUCUGCAGAAAAUGCUCUGUGAGUGAUCUCAUCCACUCCCACGCUUUCAGCUUCCAUCCCCACACCGAUGCAUGAAGCUGAAAGUAGAAAAAAAAAAAAAAAAACUAAACUAAAAACCGAAAUCAUUGACUUGGAAGUCCUUAGGAACCUCAAAGCUUGGCAGGUUGAAGGUGUGGCAGAAUAAUGGAUUGAAAAUUUAAUUUACAUUUUGUUUUCCCUGAUGUAAGAGAGUCAGAGAAAUGAUGCGUAUUUUAUUCUCUGUAAUUUUUCCUCACCAAUUCUAAGAAAGUACCCAGGACAUCUUGCCUCGGGGACGGUGGUGUUGGCUAGACUGAGGGCAAAAUUAGCCUGAAGCCUGGCACUUGCCUUUGAAAACAAACUCAGCAAGAUAAUUCUGGGUCAGAGUUUCUCAGCCUCAGCACUGUUGGCAUUUUGAGAUGGAUAAUUUUUUGUUGUGAGGCCAUCCUGUGCGUGCCUACCAUCAUCCCUGGCCUCCAUCUCCUAGAUGCUAGGAGCACCCUUCCCGCAAGUUGUAACAACCAAAAAUCUCCCGGCAAUGCCAAACAUCCCCUGGGGAUGGGGCACAGUGGAGCACGGGGUGGGUGGGUGGGUUACGGGGAGGUGGGAGUGUCGAUGGGGGCGGGGCAGGGAAUUAUCCCUGGCUGAGAAACACUGUGCUAGAUAGAUCAUCCACAAAAGGAGAGAACAGGGGCCCGAUGGAAACUGCCAACCUUGGGAAUUGGACAGCUUCCCCUACACUGGGAAUGGGGGACCCAUGAGAUUCCAGGAACCACAGUUGGUUCCUCCUUGUUAUGUGCUGGGCCACAACCAAAACACAGGUUUCCUUUCCCAGGAUCCUCCUGGCUUAGCACGGUCUCUAGUCCUUCCAAGAUGGCAGCAGUGUGUAGAGGGAAGGCAGUCUUGGAGCUCUCAGAGUCAUUUGGGGUGCUGACUUCCUCGGUCCCGAAUGCCUGCCUGCAGGCUUCUGCCUGGUUCCCUGGCUGGGUCCGUGGGCCAGUGAUUUCUAGCCUCCCUCUCCACCCCAGGGCUGCUCUUGGCUGCCCCCUUGCUGUCAGGAGCCCCUACUGCAGCAAGACACAGAUCAAAUCUGUGGGAAGUUUGCUCCUUGUUAGGAUAACGUUUGACAAACUGCUUAAAGCAUCCCCCAAAUCCCCUCAAUGUCUUUAGUCCUCUGAGGCUGAAUCUUCCAGUAAAGAUGACAUCCUUUUUAGAUCUCUGCUCCCUCCUUGUCAGAAAGUUGUACUCUAUGGGCCAGGUACCGUGGCUCAUGCCUGUAAUCCCAACACCUUAGGAGGACAAGGUGAGGGGAUCACUUGAGCCCAGAAGUUUGAGACCAGCCUGGGCAACAUAGUGGAGCCCCGUUUCUACAAAAAUAAAUAAAUUAGCCAGGCGUAAUGGUGCACUCCUGUAGUCCCAGCUACUCGGGAGACUGAGGUGGGAGGAUGGCUUGAGCCCAGGAGGUAGAAGUUACAGUGACCGGUGAUUGCACCACUGCACUCCAGCCUAGGUGACAGAGAGAGACCCUGUCUCAAAAAAUAAAUAAAUAAAUAAAUAAAGCUGUAUUCUACAUAGCACCAAAGAAUGAACACUGCCCAGUGAACGAUGAUUUCAACUCCAUCUCCUCAAAAUUGUCCUGCACUUUACAGAAGCUCCUGCUUCACUGAGUCCUUAUAAGUGAGUGACAUUUUGCAAAUACAUUGGACUUCCCAUUGGUUCCUCCCCAACAGCCACUGGCAACUGGCCAGGCCCAGAAAUCCAGAUGUGUCCUCUCCAUCUGCUAAGUCCUGCCAGACAUAUGAAGGAUGCUUUCUCUUUAUCCUUUUCUGUCAGGAGUGUCUGGUAAUCCCACUCCUAAACAACCCUGAACAUCCCUGCAUUUCUGCCAAGCUCUCUAAGGCAUUCCAAACUCAGGGCAUGCUGUCUCCAUCACUGUUGGUUUGUUUGGUGUCCUGUAAUGCACGCACAUUCUCAUCUUCCCAAAUGUCUUAUGUGCAACCAUAGAUGGAAUUACAUAUGGACUCUUGGACUUGGGAAUAAUGCCAUGAAUUAACAUUCUCUUCUAAAAUGAAUUAAUAUUUUCCCCUAAAACAUUUGUUUAUAGAGAAUCUUUCUAAAGUGCUCUCUCAAAAAGUCCUGUAACUCUCUUCCAGGGAUUCCUUUUUUCACAGCCCAUUGAUGAAGAGAAAACACGUUUCUCGUUGCUUGAGGUUUCCCUAUCAAUUUCUCUGUACAGUCCUCAAGUUCUGGGAUCGCCAAAGUCCAGUGGGUUCUUCUGCCUCGGAGACUGCCAGCUGAGGCGUGUCAGAGGUCAUCCUCCUGCGUCCCAGUUUUUAUGUCAUGAGUGGAUCCACAGCGGUCUCCCAAGUCUCAAAGGGAGCAGUGACCCUGAAAACCACAAAAUGUUGCGCAGAGGGAAUUGGAUUCUGCGUCCCAAGAGACUCCUUCCAACCUGGAACUGAAUGACAUGGAGCAGAUGCUGCUGUAGCCCAAUGUGUGUCCAGGACAAAAUGAGUCUGGGUGUCCUGUGGGGGCGCAGGGAUACCUCCCGCUACAUUCUCCUCUCUGUUCUCUCCUGCCUGUGAGCUGCAGGCAAAUUUCGGUGGGGGAAGCAGCGAGAGAAGAAAAAAGCAAUGUGCAAUUUUGAUGCACAAGGGGCAAUUUCUAAAGACAAUUCUUGGUGACCAUAAACGCCCACCACCUCCGGCGGCUCCACCUGAAACCCAAGGAGCAUCAUUUUCCAUUCUCGCUUCUGAGAUAAUAAGUUGGAGAGAAGCUUCAUAUUUCAAAUCAAAACUAUUUUCCAACUAGAGGAAGAGUGGAAACUUUUCAGGCAAAUUUCAUAUGCAGUAACACAAUUUCCUCCUGUUCCACUUCUUUUUUCACCUAAUACAUGAUAAAUAUUCAAGAUCUCCUUGAGGGAGCAUGAGCGGAGAGCGGGGAGGCAUAAUCGUCAUGGCUGCUCAGUGGUGGCAGGCAGUGGGGUGGACCGAGGUCCCUCUCUCUCAGGGCCUGCCUGGAUACCAGCCUGAGCUCCUGGCUCCCUAACCUGCCCCCAGAAGAGCCCUCACUCCAUCUGGCUGAUGAGAAUGAGCCCUGGCGCGGGCUUGAGGGAAUACUUGAAAAUUUUAUUAUCUUUUUUUCUUUUUUCUUUUUUUUUUUUUUUUUUGAGAUGGAGUCUUGCUCUGUUGCCCAGUCUAGAGUGCGGCAGCGCAAUCUGGGCUCAUUGCAACCUCCACCUCCCGGGUUCAAGCAAUUCUCCUGCCUCAGCCUCCCAGGUAGCUGGGAUUACAGGUGCGACACCAUGCCCGGCGAAUUUUUUGUAUUUUUAGUAGAGAUGGGGUUUCACCAUGCUGGCCAGGCUGAUCUUGAACUCCUGACCUCAUGAUCCACCCGCCUCAGCCUCCCAAAGUGCUGGGAUUACAGGCAUGAGCCACCGAGCCUGGCCGAAAAUUAUGUAUUAUCUUAAUGGCUAUGAACAGUGUUCACUGGGAAAAUGCCUUGAAGAGGUACUUGGGAUAGACGAUGAGACUUAACACAGAGAUUAUUAGUGACUUGGGGGGGAUCCCAGGCCAGGGGACAGGGAUAAGGGGACACAAGAGAGGCAACCCUCACCAAUGGAAUCUGUGGGCUCCAGCCACAUGGUAGAAGGUUGAUGAUAAAUAAAUGGUGGCCUGUGGUUGGGAGCACAGAGGGCAUCUCUCUGUUAAGAGAUAACAAUAGCUAGCUUCUCUCUACUGGGCACUUGCCAUGUGCCUAGCACUGAACUAAUGCUUUACGUGCACCACCACAUUUAAUCCUCAUAGCACUGCUAUGAGGUAGGAACUAUCAUUAUUCCCAUUUUACAAAGAAACCAGAGUUCAGGGAGCUUACAUAAAUUGCCUGAGAUCACACUGCUAACAAAGUAAAACACAAAAUACCACUACACAUUCUAUAGAAUGGUACAAUUAAAAAGACUCACCAUAUCAAGUAUUGGUAAGAACUAGAGCAUCUGGAAGUCUCAUAUAUUGCUGAUGAACAUAUGGCGCAAUCACUUUGGAAAACUGGCAGUUUCUAAUAAAUUUAAACACAUACUUACCCUAUUACUCAGAAUUCCACUCCUAGGUAUUUACCAAAGAAAAAUUAGUGUAUGUAUGUCCACAAAAAGUGUGCAAGAAUGCUCAUAGCUGCUUUACUCAUAAGAACCCCAAACUAGAAAACUCCAUCAACAGGCAAGUGGAUAAAUACCCUGGGUGCAUACACAUAAGGGAAAAUUGCUUAGCAAUAAAAAGGAGCAAACUAAUCAUACUUGCAGCAUGGAUGCAUCUCAAAAUCAACACGCUGAGCAAUAGAAGCCAGAUGCAGAGUGAGUACCAUGUAUUUCCAAUGGCAAGAAGCAGACUCCUGGUUGCCCCAGGCUGGGGUGGGCAGGGACCACUUGCAAAGGGCAAUGAGGGUGGUGGAAAUGUUCUAUGUCUUAAUAGUGGUGGUAGUUACAUAGGUGGAGACAUCUGUCAAAACCCAUCUAAUGAACACUCAAAAUGGUUAAAUUUAUAACAUAAAUUAUACCUCGGUAAGGUUGUCUUUACAAAAAUCUGAAGUCCUUACACCACGGCCUGUACGUUCCAACAUCCCUCCUGCCUCCACCUCUCCCUCCACUCUCCCCUUUGGCCUUCUAUUCUGGCCACACCAGUCUCCUUGCUGUUCAUCAAAUUGUCCAGGCACAUCUCCCUCUCUAGGGCUUUGUCUGUGCUGUCCCCACCACCUGCAAUGCUCUCCCCACAAUGUCCACGUGACUCACUCUCUCACCUCUUGCAGAUCUCUGUUCAAAAGUUACCCAGCAGUGUGGUCUUCCCUGACCCCAGCCCCCGCAUAAAAUAACACCCACUGCAUACUUCCCUGGUCCUUUACCCUGCUUUCUUCUCUAUAGCACUUAUCACAUCCUGGCAUAUUAUACUUGUAUUCAUUUACUGUCUGUCUCCCUUUCUAGAGUAAGCCCCAUGAGAGCUGGAACUCUGUUUCACCGGGCAGUGCUACUUUGAGGUCUAGAACAAUCCCUGGCAUGUGGUAGACCCUCAGUCAUUCCACAGAAUGAAUGAAUUAAGCCCUUCCUAUCCUGCUUUCCUUCCCUUUUCCCCACUGAUCUUCCCUUAAAAAAAAAAAAAAGAAAAAUCAUUUAAUACCAAAAAGAUCUCUUUCAGAGAUAUCCCCACUCUAACACAAAACAGUCUUUUCUUCUGAAAAUAACAAUAAUAUAGAAUAUUUUACUUCUCAGCUUCUAUCAUUUGCAUUUGGGGAUUUCACCAAUACUCAGUAAUACUCCAAGAACACGGAGUGGAUAUUUGUCCUACGUUUGUAUAACUGAAGGACAUCCAAAACAAAGAACCAUUUUUUCCAAGGUGACUUCUGUCUUUAACACCAGAGACUGGUAGGAACUUAAAUCUGCUAGCAACUUAAAAAAAAAUGCAGUGUCUCUACAAUACUUUUGUUCUGCCUCACUGAUCACCCUUCUACAUGUAUAUUUAUUUAUUUACAUAAUCAGGAUUAUACAGCAUGAAGACAUACUGUUCUGUAACCCGUUUUUCUCAUUUAGCAAUAUAGAGUAAGUAUUUUCCCAUGUCAUUAAAAAUUCUUGGAAAAUGUAAUUAUUAAUGGCUAAGGAAUGUUAUAAUUAAUAAUGGCUAAGGAAUGGCUAAGGUAUCUAGAUGUACCAUAGUUUAUUUAAGCACUCUCUUACUGUGGAAGAUUUUGGUUGCUUCCUUUUAAAAAAAAUUUCAAUUAUAAAUAAUGAAUGUCAUUGGGUAUAAAUUUUUGCCUGAAUUUCUAAGUAUUUCCAGAGAUGGAAUCCUAGCUGCAAAGGAUAUGGGUGGUUUUUCUGUUAAGGUUUUUAAUAAGAAGUCCCAACUUGUAUUUUAAGUUUUAAUACAUAGUUCCACUUCUGUUUUCCAGAAGAGAGACACCCAUUUAAAUGACUAACAACAGGAUAUGAGAGCACUGUAAGGUUUGACCCUUUCAAGCAGUGGGCAUUACCAUUUCUUAAAUCUUGUCUUCUAUUUCUUUGAUUAUUAGCAAAGUGGAAUGUCUUUUCACAUGCUUAUUUGUAUUUCAUCUUCUGUGAAUUAUGUUACUCUCCUGUUUUGUAAUUGAAGUGUUAGUAUUUAUCUUAGUGAAUUGUCAGAGCGCUCAGUGAAUAAUAGGGACAUUAACAAAGAAUCUUUGUUUCUUUGUUUGCUUGCCUUUAAUUGUGUUUAUGUUGUUUCUCAAAUACACAUAUUUUUAACUCUCUUUGUUGUUAAUGUUGCUUUGUUUAGAAAGUCCUUUCUCAUCCCAGAAUGGGUUUAGAACCCUGCUGACUAUAAGGCAUAGGUCUGUUGCAUAAAUUCUCUCCUUCUGUCCUCCAACCAUGCCAUGAAGUAAGCAUUAUCAUCCUCACUUUGUUAUUUUUUACUAUGUAAAAAUUUCAAACAUACACAGAAGAAAAUAAAUAUAUUGAUUCUGGGAUUUGCCUCAAGAUAAUGGGGGCGGGCAUGAG
rnacentral:lncRNA from 1 species